rnacentral:snRNA from 1 species
AUCGCUUCUCGGCCUUUUGGCUAAGAUCAAGUGUAAAAUAGACCGCUUACAUUCAUCUUUGACAUAUUGGCCACCACAUUAUUUUGUGUUUCGCUUUGUUUCACUUAACACUGGAGCUGUU